UACGGAGGUGCAAGCGUUAUCCGGAUUCACUGGGUUAAAGGGUGCGUAGGUGGGUUGGUAAGUCAGUGGUGAAAUCUCCGAGCUUAACUUGGAAACUGCCAUUGAUACUAUCAGUCUUGAAUACUGUGGAGGUCAGCGGAAUAUGUCAUGUAGCGGUGAAAUGCUUAGAUAUGACAUAGAACACCAAUUGCGAAGGCAGCUGGCUACACAAAUAUUGACACUGAGGCACGAAAGCGUGGGGAUCAAACAGG
rnacentral:rRNA from 1 species